rnacentral:rRNA from 1 species
GAUGAACGCUGGCGGCGUGCCUAAUACAUGCAAGUCGAGCGAACAGACGAGGAGCUUGCUCCUCUGACGUUAGCGGCGGACGGGUGAGUAACACGUGGAUAACCUACCUAUAAGACUGGGAUAACUUCGGGAAACCGGAGCUAAUACCGGAUAAUAUAUUGAACCGCAUGGUUCAAUAGUGAAAGACGGUUUUGCUGUCACUUAUAGAUGGAUCCGCGCCGCAUUAGCUAGUCGGUAAGGUAACGGCUUACCAAGGCAACGAUGCGUAGCCGACCUGAGAGGGUGAUCGGCCACACUGGAGCUGAGACACGGUCCAGACUCCUACGGGAGGCAGCAGUAGGGAAUCUUCCGCAAUGGGCGAAAGCUUGACGGAGCAACGCCGCGUGAGUGAUGAAGGUCUUCGGAUCGUAAAACUCUGUUAUUAGGGAAGAACAAAUGUGUAAGUAACUAUGCACGUCUUGACGGUACCUAAUCAGAAAGCCACGGCUAACUACGUG